UGAGCAAUCUGCCCUUCUCAUCGGAAUAAGCGUUGGAAACGACGUCUAAUGCCGAAUACGACCUCCUUUCGCAUGAUCGGAGGUGGAAAGCUCCUGCGGAGAAGGAUGAGCUCGCGGCCUAUCAGCUAGUUGGUGUGGGUAAUGGCCCACCAAGGCGACGACGGGUAGCCGGCCUGAGAGGGUGACCGGCCACACUGGGACUGAGACACGGCCCAGACUCCUAGGGAGG
rnacentral:rRNA from 1 species